rnacentral:rRNA from 1 species
UACGUAGGGUGCAAGCGUUGUCCGGAAUACUGGGCGUAAAGCGUGCGCAGGCGGUGAUGAUAGACCGAUGUGAAAUCCCCGGGCUUAACCUGGGAACUGCAUUGGUGACUGCACGGCUAGAGUGUGUCAGAGGGGGGUAGAAUUCCACGUGUAGCAGUGAAAUGCGUAGAGAUGUGGAGGAAUACCGAUGGCGAAAGGCCAGCCCCC